GACGAACGCUGGCGGCGUGCUUAACACAUGCCAGUCGAACGGAAAGGCCUGUCCUUCCUUGUGUUGGACGGGUACUCGAGUGGCGAACGGGUGAGUAACACGUGAGUGAUCUGCCCCCAACUUGGGUAUAAGUCUGGGAAACUGGGUCUAAUUCCCGAUAGGACUGCAGGGUGGUGCCUGUGGUGGAAAACGAUUUUCUAGUGGUUGGGGAUGAGCUCGCGGCCUAUCAGCUUGUUGGUGGGGUAAUGGCCUACCAAGGCGGCGACGGGUAGCCGGCCUGAGAGGGUGGACGGCCACAUUGGGACUGAGAUACGGCCCAGACUCCUACGGGAGGCAGCAGUGGGGAAUAUUGCACAAUGGGCGGAAGCCUGAUGCAGCGACGCCGCGUGGGGGAUGACGGCCUUCGGGUUGUAAACUCCUUUCGACCGCGAGGAAGCCGCCUGGUUGGAAGGGUGGUGACGGUAGUGGUAGAAGAAGCACCGGCUAACUACGUG
rnacentral:rRNA from 1 species